CGAAAGCCUGACGGAGCAAGACCGCGUGGGGGAGGAAUGCCUUAGGGUUGUAAACCCCUUUUAUCUGGGAAGAACAAAAUGACGGUACCAGAUGAAUAAGCCUCGGCUAACUCCGUGCCAGCAGCCGCGGUAAUACGGAGGAGGCAAGCGUUAUCCGGAAUUAUUGGGCGUAAAGCGUCCGCAGGUGGCGAUUCAAGUCUGCUGUCAAAGCACGGGGCUUAACUCCGUAAAGGCAGUAGAUACUGAAGGACUAGAGUGCGGUAGGGGCAGAGGGAAUUCCCGGUGUAGCGGUGAAAUGCGUAGAUUUCGGGAAGAACAUCGGUGGCGAAAGCGCUCUGCUGGGCCGCAACUGACACUCAGGGACGAAAGCUAGGGGAGCG
rnacentral:rRNA from 1 species